CCCUCUCUCCCAUUUCCAAUCUCAUUUCCUCUUUCUUCUUCAGCUCUCGGUCUCCAUUUCACCUAAGGAACUAGCUCCAUGGAAGUGGAGAAAUCAGUAUCCCAAGAUGCUAUUUCAACCAAACUAGUAAACCUUCUAUACAUUCGUCUUCUGAAAUCCCUCAAAUCGCUAGUCGAGUUGUAGAUCUCAAAUCUGCUGGGAACAGAUUCAGCUUCAUUAUUUCUCUAUUCUUCUCAAAAUCGAAAUUGAAAAAAAUAAUAUGGUAUCAAAUUAGAUGUGAGAUGUGAUUUGAAUCUAAGAGGUUUCAUGAUUAGUGUGAUAUGUGAUUUGAAGCAAGGGUUUUUGUUCGUGUUUUUUUUCUUCAGUAAAUGGAUAAUGAGCUCCCGGAUCCAUAGAUCAGCAUCAAGAACUCUUAGACCACUUACCUCUUAUCUAAAAGCUCAUCUCUUUUCAGCGAGGUAGAGAAGGCAAUAGAGGAGUCAAGUUGGUGGUGGAUAUGAUGUUAUUGUCGAUGUUAUUCCCAAGGAGGGAUUAUGUGGUAGAGGAAGAUUAUAAAUAAGAACAAGAGUAUCUCCGAUGAAAUCAGGGUGGAGGUACCAAGGUAAUGGUGUUACAUAUUUAAUGAUCUUUCCUUGUAUGCUGUCAAAUGAUUAGUGCUUUAAGGAUGUUGUUGCUAGACUAGUUAGAUCUCAAAUGGAUAUUUUUGUUUGCAAGCUUUAUAACAAAUGGGUAUUCUCUCCUGUAUAUUCCUAGGUUCUUGAAUUAAUUAUCUGAAAUUUUAGUUAGUUGGUGUUAUAAGAUGUUGUCAAAUGGGUAUUUUUCAUCUGUAUCGCGCAUGAGUUAUAUGAUUAAAUUUCGAAGAUAGGAUACUAUUUAGUUGCUCUGCAAAGAAGAAAACCAUUUCAAAUAUAAGUCACUACAUCAUGUGUGCCAAUGUUUUUGGAAGAUUGGUACUUGUUUUUGAAAUUUCGAAGACUCGUACUUGAUUUUGAAGUCUUACUCUGAUGAUUUUAGAGUAAAAGCCCGAUGCAACCUACUGAAACCCACCACUUGCGCCAAUCUUCUGAAUUAGCUUGCUUACCUAUAUAUUACUCUCUACUUUAUUCACGUUCUGGUACUCUUACAGUGUCAUAUGCCCUGUAUUCUUUUUGAACUCUAGAUCAGUUCAUCAUCGAGAAGUUAGUCAUUACGAGGAUGCAAAACCUUGGAACGAAAGGUGCGAUCUUGCAUUCUACUGCACAACACGGAAUGAAAUCGAGAAAUCUGAUAUUGUUAGUUUGCUCACAGGCUCAACUAUGGCUUGUACUUCUCAAGCAGUUGAUGUACUGAGAAAAGCUAAUUUCUCCAACAAAGGCUGCUGGAACUGGAGAGGUAUGUCAUUGAUGAGAGGUGGGGAUUGAGUAACAUAAAUAUUGGAUCAGCACCGCUCUGACUCAGGAUUUAAACUUGGGUCUGUUGAACAUACAUCAGAAGCAAUAGUGAAGAAGUAUGGUGCCGUAAGGUUAACUUUUGAAGUUGAAGGCCUAACUAUUCUGAGAACAACCCAGCAAAAAAAAAAGACAUUUGAUGGUCCAUCACGCAAGGACUGGAGAGGUGGAAGGGCUGCUUCAUUCAGUAUCAUUCCUAGCAGCACUGCUCAGUUGAGGGAAAAGUUGGUGUGCAUCAUUUGGAUGAGGUUCUGCGAGAGGAAACUUCAUCGUCAAAUGCCACAGAGGGGCAUGAGAUACACUCGGUGAAUUCGUUAAAUUUUUAUCCGGUAACAUCCAAUUUUGUGAAUUGCCACUCAAUGCUUGUGUCAAGAUAGUUUGAUUGCAGUUGAUGCGGACAUUAGAUAAACAUCUAAACAUCCUCGGUCAUCAGUAUGUUGGGAUGCUUGUGAAAGGUACUCUAUUAUUGCCUAUUGGGUGAUUCUGUUGUUUGUAUGGGUGCUGGUGGUGGUUUGUGGGGAUGGAAUUGGGAAACACUCUCCACAUUUUAUUGAGUAUUGUGACCUCCCCGCAUUAAUCAGCUGAUGGCGGAACUUAUUUUUGCAGUAAAGGUAACUUUUCGAAGUAUGGGCUAGCUAAGUUCAUCAUCAUCGGAGUUCACCGUUUGCUGUUUAAUCAAUCGUAUAUUAGUUUAUCAUCUUGUAACGAAAUCUUAGAACUUAAUUAUUUGUCUUGUUGAAUGAACUUUUAUUGCUCUGAACUCAAUAUUUUAUUCAUUUUUUGUGUGAUUUGAACUAAGUGAAUCGAUGAAUGUUAAAUUGGAAGAUUAUCUUUGUGCAAA